rnacentral:lncRNA from 1 species
CCAAAUUUUAAACUUCAGCCGUAGAUUUGUUAUCUUUACCUAGCAUUAAUAUUGGCUGCCUCACAUCCAUGCACCCACUGGAUCUAUAUAUAUCACAUGAAACCAGAAAUAAGGACUCACUCAGGCUCACCUACUCACUUUUGAUUGCGGUUCUCCAGAAGCUAACAGAGAUCGUUUCUGCUUUGAAGAAAAUGGAAACUCCUUACACAGGUUAAUUUUUAGGCCAUGUUCAAUUGAAUGUAAUUUAUAAUUCUAAUUUUAAUAUAUGUGUUUGUGAAUAAGUUUUUUAUCAUCAAUUUUUCAGGUAAGAAAGAAUGGUCAGAGGGUGCAUUGAUUAUUCUAAUAGUUAGUAUGUUUGAUGAUGAGAAAAUAAAUGACAAUGAUCUUGAUCUUCUUGCCGUCCCUCAAUACGGGAGGUACCCUGAUUACACUGGUUAAUUAG